rnacentral:rRNA from 1 species
UACGUAGGGGGCAAGCGUUGUCCGGAAUCAUUGGGCGUAAAGCGCGCGUAGGCGGGCCGGUAAGUCCGCUCUGAAAGUCCAGGGCUCAACCCUGGAAAGCGGGUGGAUACUGCCGGGCUAGAAUCCGGAAGAGGCGAGUGGAAUUCCUGGUGUAGCGGUGAAAUGCGCAGAUAUCAGGAGGAACACCAAUUGCGAAGGCAGCUCGCUGGGACGUUACUGACGCUGAGACGCGAAAGCGUGGGGAGCAAAUAGG